AACGAACGCUGGCGGCAGGCUUAACACAUGCAAGUCGAGCGCCUCGCAAGAGGAGCGGCAGACGGGUGAGUAACGCGUGGGAAUCUACCGUGCCCUACGGAAUAGCUCCGGGAAACUGGAUUUAAUACCGUAUACGCCCUUCGGGGGACAGAUUUAUCGGGGUAUGAUGAGCCCGCGUUGGAUUAGCUAGUUGGUGGGGUAAAGGCCAACCAAGGCGACGAUCCAUAGCUGGUCUGAGAGGAUGAUCAGCCACAUUGGGACUGAGACACGGCCCAGACUCCUACGGGAGGCAGCAGUGGGGAAUGUUGGACAAUGGGGGCAACCCUGAUCCAGCCAUGCCGCGUGAGCGAUGAAGGCCUUAGGGUUGUAAAGCUCUUUCACCGGUGAAGAUAAUGACGGUAGCCGGAGAAGAAGCCCCGGCUAACUCCGUGCCAGCCGCCGCCGUAA
rnacentral:rRNA from 1 species